ACCACCGCCCCUCCUCAGGCACCGCUGGUUCCCUGGACGCUGCUCCAACCUCUACCCCCAUGGAGUCAAGCUUCCAAAGCAUUGCAUUUGUGUCUGCAUGGCUGAUUGGAUAGGAACUGUGCUCAAAUAUCCCAAACCGGACAACUUACAGCAUGGAAGCUCACCUCAUCAGAGCAAGGAGAAGAAGCAGAAAGAGUGACAGCCAGGCAGGAGUCAGUCAUCAGAACCAGUAAGUCGCUGUGUCCACUAUGCAUGCCAAUGACAAGGGGUCACACAAGCACCAACCUUAGAAGGGGUGAACCACAAGGGACUAUUUUAGAAAUAGCCUAUACAAAUUCAAAGUUCAGGCC